rnacentral:tRNA from 1 species
AUCUUUCUAGUAUAAAUAUUACAAGUGACUUCCAAUCAUUAAAACUUGGUUUGAACCCAAGGAAAGAUA